ACUUGCUGUCAUGGCUGUGUCUAGCUGUCCCCCCAUCCCCCAUGCAGUCAUAGGCGGGGCUUUCCAGAGGUGGCUGGAUCUACAGUGAGUGAAGCUGAGACAAAGGCGUGUGAUCACUAAACCAGUCCAUGAUUGCCUUGGCACUGCCCUAAUCCUGGAAGCCUGGAUAGAGCCUAAAAAGGGGCAGAAAGAGGUCCCUUACUUGCUUACUUGCUUUGCUGUCUUCUGCCUGCCAUGGACUGUUUCCCCUCUGCGAAGCCCUCUGCCACGCCACCCAGUCUUGGCACUAGCCAAGUGUAGACUGAAACCUCUGCAAACUGUGAAUCGAAAUAAACCUUUCCUUCUUUAGCUCCGGGUGCUGGGUAUUUUGUUUCAGCAAUGAGAAAAGUAACUAAGUCACCUGGGUUCCAUUUUUCAAGGUCCAGACCAACUCACCCACGGAGCUCUCUGGAGUGGGCCACCUGGCUUCCAUGCGCCUCUCCACGUGGGGGUCAGCAGAGCCGCCUCAGGGCCUGGCAUGAGGAAGACCUUGUGAAGGAGGGAUGAAAAUUGAGCAGUGCGUGGACAGUCAGGAGAUGCUCCCAGCCCAGCCCAGCAGGCAACCAGAGUGUCCUGUCCUCCUGCCUGAGUAUGGGCUGAGCCUGAGCCUUCCUUCCCGGGAGCGGGAAGGAGCCAUGGCCUGGCCUAGUGGCACCUGCUCACUCUGACCCGUGAGCAGGUUCCUGUGCUCGGUGAGGGAAGAGAGUCCUCCAGGGAAGGGCUUUCCUGGCCAUGGCUGUAGGGACCCUGGGCACAGAGACCAGUCUGCUGCAGGCAGCCAGCCUGGCCUGGUCAGCCUGUCUCAGGGGUGGAGGGCGGAGGGUGGAGGUGACGCGACCUCUCCCACUGGGCCAGGGAUUGGGCAGAACAAGAAGCAGUCAGGACCCUUGGUGCUCCUCAUCCCAGGCCCUCCCCACCCUGGACACGCUGGCUUCCACUUCUGCUACGGCUCCAUCCACGGUCUUUCUACCAGCACCGUGGGCCUGCACACGGGGAGAGUCUUGCAGCGCUAACCGUUCCACCAAAUGGAAUGAGUAUUCCGAUGGCCUGAGAAGAAGAGUUGGCUUUAUAAACAGAGAGAGGCCGAAGAAGGCAGAAACAAAGGCUGGAAAGCAGACUGGCCCUCUCCAAGCUACUUUCCUCGUAAGGCGGGCACAGGGCUCCAGAACAAUAGGCCCUGCACUGCCCGCCUCUCCCACGGCAGCCUGGCUUCCCUGUGGGGAGGCGCCCCGACCCCACUCGGCUGCGCGCCCAGGGCUGUUUUACACUGCGCUUGGCUCCUGGGAAGCUGCAUGGCGUCUCCCGAGCUGUUGAAGGAAGGAGUCACCCGCAGUCUCGGAACCCUCAGGGAGCUUCAGUGUGGGGACUGAACACCAGAAAGACCUUGACAGUUAGAAGGUGGACCCCAGCCUCCAGCAAGGACCCCUAACCCCUGAAGGCUGAGGUGAUCACCAGUGGCCAAAAUGUAACCGAUCGAGCCCCCAUGAUGAAGCCCACAAAGCCCACCAGCCAGGUUUGGAAAGUUCCACUGCAGGCACCAGGAGGGUGAUGUGCUGCCCGAAGGGCAUGGAAGCUCUGCCCCUCCACACGGGCCCUGCUGUUCUCCCUGCUACUCUUCCAAGUCCUUUGUAACAUCCUUUCUGAUAAAUGGGGCCAACUUGGGAAGGACCAUACACCAUGAUCCUGUCAACCCCCUCAGCUGUCAAGGUAGCAGGCCUGGACUCCUGGGCACACCAUACUUGACUCAAGCCCUGAGAACCAGAGACUGUUGCUGAAUGUGAGCAACCACCUGAAUACUCCUGUGAACCCACAGGAGACUUACAGUUCUUUUUCAAGAGGAAAACAAAGUCUUCAGAUAAGUAGUCUAAGAUGUUACCCUAGCCUUGUA
ensembl:lncRNA